UGUAAAUGCAACCAUAAAUUUUCAUGUCUAAUUUUGAUCAUCCGUUUUAUUUAAUUUUUUUAUGAUUAGUAUUUUUAAUGUUAUUAGAUUAUAAAAUAUGAAUAUUAUUUUAUGUGUGACUUAUGUUUUUUAUUAUUUUUUUAAAAUUUUUUUAAAUAAGACAUACGAUUAAAUUUGGAUACGGAAACAUAUGGCUGCGUUUAAA
rfam:Oryza sativa Japonica Group DNA, chromosome 2, cultivar: Nipponbare, complete sequence.